rnacentral:rRNA from 1 species
GAUGAACGCUGGCGGCGUGCUUAACACAUGCAAGUCGAACGAUGAAGCCCAGCUUGCUGGGUGGAUUAGUGGCGAACGGGUGAGUAACACGUGAGUAACCUGCCCUUAACUCUGGGAUAAGCCUGGGAAACUGGGUCUAAUACCGGAUAGGAGCGUCCACCGCAUGGUGGGGGUUGGAAAGAUUUAUCGGUUUUGGAUGGACUCGCGGCCUAUCAGCGUGUUGGUGAGGUAAUGGCUCACCAAGGCGACGACGGGUAGCCGGCCUGAGAGGGUGACCGGCCACACUGGGACUGAGACACGGCCCAGACUCCUACGGGAGGCAGCAGUGGGGAAUAUUGCACAAUGGGCGAAAGCCUGAUGCAGCGACGCCGCGUGAGGGAUGACGGCCUUCGGGUUGUAAACCUCUUUCAGUAGGGAAGAAGCGAAAGUGACGGUACCUGCAGAAGAAGCACCGGCUAACUACGUG